rnacentral:lncRNA from 10 species
AACACAGCAAGCCUUUGUUACCACUGUACCUCAUUGGUUUAAAUCCUAUCUGGAGGUUUGAGGAGAAAGUUAGACAUUCAUUCAGAAAGCCAUGUAUUGAUCACCUAUUAUGCACCAAGAGCAAUGCUGUAUACUGGGAACCUGAAGAUAGAUUAAUGAAACAUCUCACUCUGAGAAAAAUCACAAUUUGGGAUCCUACAGAAGCAACAAUUAAUUCUGCCUAAAGGAGUGGGGAAGGCUUUGGAAGGAGCUGAUUUUCUGGUUGGUCCUUAAAAAAUAAGGAGGUGGAAAAGGAGGUCAAGUCACCCCAGGAAUCCCGCCAUGGACGACCUGCUCCUUGCUCCAGCCUGGCCAGUGCUUUGAAGUGAUAACACCAAGAGUUGCUGUUUAGGAAGGCAAGGAAGAAACAUCAGUGUCUCGUCUAGCCUCAGAAAAAAACGACUUCCUAUUUUUACUACUGUUAUGAAUCCCUCACUCAUGGACACCUUUGUGACGUGACUUCCAAGUUGCUAUUCUAUUUUCUGGCUGGAACCUGCAAACUCCAAUCUGGAAGUAUAUCUCUUUAGGGAAAGGGAAGGAAGACCAGAACCAGUGUUUAUUAAAUACCUACUAAAUGUCAAAUUUACUAUGCAUAGCUCUACAUAUGCUAUAUAAAUUACCCAUGAAAAAAAUCACUGGCAUCGCAAUGUGUAUCAGCUAGCAUUUGCUGCAUAACAAACCAACCUAAAACGUAGUGGCUUAAAACAACCAUGUAUUAUUGCUGAUGAGUGUCUGGAUCAGCUAAGUGGUUCUGCUGAGCCAUGCCAGGCUUAACUGAUUCCAGCUGGAUUCACUCAUGUUCCUGCAGGUAACUACUGGAUUAGCUAGGGGCUGGCUGGUAUAGGAUGCCCUCAGCUAAGGUGGUUCAUUUCUGUUCCAUAUUCUACAAAAUGAUAUUCCAUGCACGUUCACAUGGCAGUGGCAGAAGAGAGUAAGCAGAAGCCAUGAGGCCUCUGAGGCCUAGGCUCAGAUUGAAUCAUGGCCUUUGAGGCCUAGGCUCAGAUUGAACGCACCAUCCCUUCCACUCCAUUCUAUUGGCCAAAUCGAGUCACAGGGAUGGCCUAGAUUCAAGGGGCAGUGGGAGGGGAAAACAGAUUCCACCUCUUGAUGGAAUAAGCUGCAAAGUCACAUGGUCAAUGGCAUGAACACAGAGAGUAAUAGAAAAUUUGAGACUUUUCUGCAAUAAACCAACCACAAAUAUCUUGGAAUAUUCUAGAUCAUAUAAGUUGUAUGUUUUCCUCCAAAAACAUGUUUCUCUUGCAUGUCUAGACUACCUUUGAAGAUUUUUGAGUUCCCUUUAGUUUCACUUACAGAAAAAUUCAGGAAAGAUGCUGUAGGGUUUUAAGAUGGCAUAUAGAAUUUUCAAUUUACCCAAGUAAGACAAAUGACCAUCUAAAUCCAGUAAAAGCCUAUGUGCUUUUAUUCCAAAUAACAGCAGGACAGAGUUAAUUCUACUUCUCCUCUUUUCAUCUACUACAUCACUCACUGCUUGAAAGAAGAAUCAACUAGACAGGAAGCUUUCUACUCCUGCCAGUUGGGUUUGGUAAGAGACCAGCCCAACAGCUGAGUGUCUGCCUUAAGGGAAGCCCCGUGGCCUCCACCAAAAUGAAAGCACACAUUGCCCUGGUGUUUUGUUUUGCAAAUAAAAAAUAAAAACAUGUUAUUAAAAAGAAACCCUCUAAAUCAGAGAUCAUGGAUAGUUUUUAUCCUAUAUGCCAACUCCAACUGGUUAAUAGAAGCUUCCAGGAGUGCUAUGUUGGAAAUAUUAGGCUUCAGGCAAUUCUAACAAAAUUAGUAUAGCACAAGAACUUUCCAGCAAUAAAAUAUGGUCACACAGUGACUGAUUCCCGCCAUUAGAUUAAAUUUACAGGGUAAGCUGAUUCUCUUCUCCUGGGCCUCUUCCCCAUUGCUUCUUUCCCUCUACUUCUACCUGGGCUGUUUUUGAGAAAGGCAAGUAGAGUAGGGUUUCAAUCUGCUGUUGGGUUUUUAUCACAGGCUCUGGAAUAUGGACACAAUGUGACUUUUUUGGCCUUUUCAAGUGUGUAGAUGGUAAAGAUCAUGGAAGAACAAAGGUAGAUCUACGAUAAGGGCAAUCUAUUCCAAAGCUCAAUAUAUUGAUUCAGACUAAAUCUAACCCCAGGAGAAAUUAUCUAAAACCCAGAAAUAAUUCAAGAGCAUCACAGCAGAGUGCACACCCUUUGGGCUCACUCUAAGUCUACCUUGACAUGUUUCUCAAGAUAAUAUCAACUAUCCACUGAGUUGAGAGGAGCCUGAAGAUAGAUCUGGAUGGUCAGGCUCCGCAUUAACUUAAGGAGAAACAUCUCAGACCCAGAACAAGGGUUAUCAACAAUGCAGCAAUGCACAUGGUAUGGUGAAAAGAAUACAAAACACAAGGAUUCAGAUUCUGCCUUUGCAAGUUUUAACAUUUCUCCCAGAGUCUCAGAAGAGAUGUAAUACAACCAUCUCAGAGUUUAUGGUGAGAAUAAAAUGGGCAAAUAUGUAAAGCACACAGACUAAUAACUGGAUCAUAUAG